UACGUAGGGUGCAAGCGUUGUCCGGAAUUAUUGGGCGUAAAGAGCUCGUAGGCGGUUUGUUGCGUCGGCUGUGAAAACCCGGGGCUCAACCCCGGGCCUGCAGCCGAUACGGGCAGACUAGAGUUCGGCAGGGGAGACUGGAAUUCCUGGUGUAGCGGUGGAAUGCGCAGAUAUCAGGAGGAACACCUAUGGCGAAGGCAGCUCGCUGGGACGGUACUGACGCUGAGGCGCGAAAGCGUGGGGAGCGAACAGG
rnacentral:rRNA from 1 species